GUCGGUUGCCAGCCAGCUGGCCUCCCACACCGGGGGCAUCGCACUGUGACGUGCUCACACCGGUGCAAAGGGAGAAACCUGGGAGCUGGUGAAGGGGGACUAUUACAGCAAGCCUGCAUACUUUGAGCUACAGUACCUCCCAGAGUGCCCAAAUACAAAUAUACAAAAAGGCAUCAGAAUCAGUAAAUAAUCUGCAUGCUACAUGCCACGCGGUGUUUGGCAGUGAGAAUAAGGCCAGCGUGGUGGAUAGCCUUACACACUUAAACCUGAUCAGGAUCCUCAUGCCCAUCUGGCAGCACCGUGUUGCAGAAGUCACCCCUCUGACUUCAGUGGAAAUACUUGUAUCAUUCAUCUGAGCAAAGGCUCCCAGUGGGAGGAAACCCAUGGCAGCGCAGGGCUGGCGGGCUCUGCUCCGGGUCCAGUCCAGCCCGCUCUGCUGAGGCUCUUUCUGUCGAUUUAAAGGAAACAAAUAGCCAUCUGUUUUUGUUCAUGUAUAUAGCGAGUUCUAGCAGUGCCUUGGGCAAAGAUAAGGUGAUGGGGGGAUUACAGCUAUCUAGGUCACAGAGCAGCAGUGCCCUUUCUGGGAAGAAGUGCUGCAGGGUGGCAGAAAUGCUUCUCGGUGUGCUCAGGCAGCUGGAGCAUUAACAUCAGCAUUGGAAAUCAAUGAGGGAAGAGAUGAGGGAAGACCAUGGAGGUGAGUCAGUGACUUUAAAGCAGUGGAUGGUGCUUUUCAGACCUCCUAGUCCCAAACUUUUCUAUCCAGCAAAUGAUCCUGGAUUUCAGAGGACUGUAAUCAAAUGUAAAGAAUAUUUUGCUCCUAUUCACUUUCUUUUAAAUGCAUAUGGACUUGAGGAACUGUGGGAACCGUAGGUAUAUAGGGCAGCAACAGCUGCACUUUACUUAAGAAGGUAAAUACGCAGACAGCGUCCAUACCCUGAAAAUGGUCUUGAGAGAUGCUGAAUUCUGCACACAGACUUCUGCAAGUGGCUCUUUCUUUCCUUUUCUUUUCCCUGCUUCGUGGAAGACACCAACGGGCCAAAACAAAUUCUCUGUCUGAUCCCAUUGACUCCCAAGGGAUGCACACAGCUCUGCUCUUAGCACAGCACCACGUCAGAAGAACUAAAAGAGGCAAAUCAGCCCACAGAGCCCACUGCAUAAACAGCCUCAACCAAAUCCUGCAGCCCAGCUUAGCCCUUUUAAAAUAUUUUGGGGGUGAUGUCAGCACCCGGGUUGCCAAUGCACUUGUUGCUCUCCUCCCUCAGCCUACUUUAGUUCCCACACAGGGACGAGGCAUCCAGACCCAGUGGGAGACAGGCAGAAGUUUGGAGGGAAAUAACUGCAGUGACUCGAAGUCUGGAGGCAGAACCACUGGGGUCCAUUUACCUGCUCAAGAGCCUGUACCCUGAAGGUUGAGCUCAAGGACGCUCCCAGGCAAAUCCCUGCAGUUUUCCCUUCGCUCUACCUGCUGACCUCUGCUCUCCCCUGAUUACUCCUGAAAAAUGCAGCGAUCCACGCAAGAACUCUUCCUCAAUUUCAUGAUUGUCCUGAUCACUGUACUGCUUAUGUGGCUCCUUGUGAAGUCUUACCAACAGUAAAAGACAACCAGAAGCUCUGGGAGGCGAUUCCAGCGUGCGUCUCUGCAGACAUCAGUAACACCCGCAGCGCACCGCUGUGAUCAGCUUUCAGUCAAUUCAGGAUGUUGUGAAUCUUUUUUACUCUCUCAUAUCUGUUGCCUGUGCUAAUGUUUGUGACAGGUCUGUGACGGUGUAAUUAUUUUGUUCUGAAGUGAUGCAGCUGUAAAAUGUAAAAUGCAAGAUCCUUAGGAACUGUUUGACAUGGCUGUCUCCUCCGGUAGCUACUGUGAAUGCCGUGGCCCCCUGCCUGCCGUGCCGGCUUGUUUGGCGUCGGGGUUGGGUUCUCGAGGGUAUGAAACUGCAGUGUGCAAUGUAACCGUCUGCCUUAACCAGCCUAAAGACGCACAAACUUGCUUAGCCGAAAGGAAUGUGAAACCUCUACUUCUGCUUGCUCAUUUCACUGAAAUAAAGAACAUGUAAAAUCAUUUUUUGUAGCAUUCCUUAUCCAUCUCCUGGCCUGACUGCUAUUCACUGAGAGAGCUGCUGAUAACUGCGGUAUGGUGUGCUGUGUGAGCUCGGUCGUUUGCUUGUUCCUCCCACCUGUAUUUUUAUUUGUACUUUUAAAAAAACUGCUGUAGAGUGGAAAUCCUGCAGCUUAACAGGUGCAUAGCUACAUGAAUGAGCUGUUCACGUCACUUUUCUGUCCAGGGUGACAUAUACACGGGUGCCUGUGGACACGGGCUUCAAAGAGAACUUCUGUCCUGCUGAGGCAUUGUCAAGAAUUCUAUUUUCUGAAGCUGGAUUUUGGGCAGGGAUUCCCAGGAUACUACUUUUGGCCAAG
rnacentral:lncRNA from 1 species